rnacentral:rRNA from 1 species
GAUGAACGCUAGCGGCAGGCCUAAUACAUGCAAGUCGAACGGGUGGUCGCAAGACCACUAGUGGCGCACGGGUGCGUAACGCGUAACCAACCUGCCCCGAUCUGGGGGAUAGCCCGCCGAAAGGCGGAUUAAUACCGCAUAUACCCGCAGCCUGGCAUCAGGCAACGGGGAAAGAUUUAUUGGAUCGGGAUGGGGUUUCGUGACAUUAGCUGGUUGGCGGGGUAAGGGCCCACCAAGGCGACGAUGUCUAUGGGACCUGAGAGGGUGAUCCCCCGCACUGGAACGGAGAAACGGGCCAGACUCCGACGGGAGGCAGCAGUAGGGAAUAUUGGGCAAUGAGCGAGAGCCUGACCCAGCCAUGCCGCGUGACGGAUGAAGGCCUUCUGGGUUGUAAACGGCUUUUCUCAGGGAAGAAAAAGACCUUGCGAGGUACACUGACGGUACCUGAGGAAUAAGCACCGGCUAACUCCGUG